GAAAAAGAUGGGAAUGUCCCUGGAUAUAGGCAGCUCCAGAGAGGGAGACAGUCUGUCCUUGAAUCAUUACUAUUAUCCCUGCACAAUUUUCUUGGAUUUGGAGAAAGCUAUAGGUAAUGCACAAGCGAACAAGGCGAGAACUGCAGUUCAUGAACGCUGGAACCAGCCAGUUGCUUCAGUGCCAGCAGGAGAGAACUCCACUCACUCAGAUCUGCUGCGUUCCUCCCCUUGCAGAAGUGAGCACUCAGGUGAGUGGGUACAGGAGCCGGGGAAAGUCCUUUUGGGUGCCAGCAGGAAAAAAUUCCAUGUGGGCCCCAUGGCAGCAUCUGGGGGCAUGGGGUGCCUGUGACCCUUGAAGUCCCAGAGGGCAUGUUACAGGGCUCUUUUAGCUUUGCCAUAGUGGAUGGCUUAAGUAUUAACAACUCAGUGGGGCUUCUGCCUUUUUGCAUGAGAUGGUUGCCUUCUGCCAGCGAGGUCAGAGGGGCAGUGUGACAGCCUUUUCUAUGCGCACUCAUGGCUCCCAAGCUCUUGUCUGGCAUCCAGGAAAAAUAAGGUUGAAUGAACGAAUGGAAGAAUGGUAAAUGAGUGGGGUUUUAUCACCAAUGAAAGUGGCUUUCAGUGGGAAGGGGAGCUGGAAAGGAGAUGUGGCUGGUAAGUAAUCCUCCUCUGAAGUUCACCCAUCUCCAGCUGGAUUCUUCUCUAAAGUUAUGCCAUCAAGCCAUCCCUCUUAAGUCAAGCUGCUUCUCUCCAAGGUCAAACUGUAGUCUCCAACAUCCUGCUGCUUCUGCUCUCUGCUGGCUGAGUCUGGGGUCUUUAUAGGCACAUGAUGGGGCAGGAUGGGGUCAUGAGUGGUUAGGAAAAGGCAACAUUUGAGCAGGAAAGCAGGGAUAUAAGUUUUCACUUUGGGCAGUGGUCUCAGGCUUUUUGGCUUGAAGGUGGGACUCCAACAGGGACCCUGCCUUUUCUGCCUAGAAUUUCUCUGCCUCCUGUCCCUAUCAAUAGUGUCUGGGAUCUGGGUCAAGCAAAAUAUAUCUUGAAAUGAUUAUUGUAAAA
rnacentral:lncRNA from 1 species